CUUGGAUAUAAUGUGAAGGUGUUAAUGAAGUGACUAGCAGUUGUGUUUUUGUGAGCCUAGUGUAGAGCAUGAAGUAGCCCUUGGAAUGUGCAUGGAGGGAGGGACAGAGCUCGGUAUGAAUUAGUUGAUUGCGAAGAGGAAUGCUAAGUUGCUAGGCGAAUGUUGAGGUGAAUACGAUGUUGCAAUGACAGUGAUAGAAUGGUCUCUGACAGUGGAAUGUGUGUUUGUUUUGUGUUGUGGGUGGGUUUUGCAGACGAGCUUCCACUUUGGGGUGCGUGAUGGCCGAUCCUUCAGGCACAGGUGGUUGUGGUUUGGUGGUUGAUAGUGCCUGGCAGGGUAUGUGAAUGUCGGUAUCAUAUGGGACACAGCAAGAGAGCGAGAACGGACGCACGCAGCGGGGUUCCGCACAACACCACCAACCAGCAGCCUUGGUAGCAGCGAUGGAGGGCACCGAUUGCGCGAGCGCGGUUGUUAAGGCAUCAUUUCGAAGGAAUUGCAAGGCCAUCGCCGAAAAAACUGCAAUCCGGCAACGGAACCCAACAAAAAAAGCCCACCGCUUUUUUUCGUUGGUCACCCAGUUCAUAGCAGUAGCUCAGUGCCGCUGAGGUUGUAUGUGUGAGAGAGAGAGAGCGUGCGGCCUUGCGAAAGGGAAGGGAGAGGGAGGGGCUCUCAAUUGAUUUGGGUUCUUUAUUGCCACCUUACUUGCUCACCAACCUGCUCUCCUACAUACCAGGUUCGUUGACACAGUCCCUGCCACAAUUGCCAUCGCCAUUGUGUACUGUGCUGUGAAUUGAUGGGAGCUGAGCUGAUGGGGGCUUUCGCAAUCCUCCCCGCUGCAGGAUCUUCACCAGUAGGGGAGGAUCACUUUUCUGGCUAUGCGAGCUUGAGUUUGUAGCUUGAUUUUUUGUGGGGAGAGCGGGAGGAGUCCUGGGUAUCAUAUAGUACACGAUCUACACAUAUAUGUUCGUAUUGAUUAAGUAUAACAACGACCAGGGGUGUUUGGUUAUGAAGGUUGUUGAGUGGUUGGUGAGUGGUUGCGCGGGGGUGAAAAUGACAGGUGGCGUGCGAUGGAGUGGGCGGGGGCAGAUCAUUCAAGUGGAUCUGACCCAAGACAGUGAGUGCGGUGUAUGUGUUGCAGUAUGUAGUAUGUGUUCAACCGGUCUUGAUUAGAAAAUGCUUUGAUCAACAUAAGAAUGGAGUACGUUCGUGUCUAACAACAGCUUCAUUCCAAGACAGGUGGGCCGAAGUGGGAAGUUGGGGUAAUGGAACGGGUGGCGAGUCAAAAGAAGUUUUUUUUUCGUCGGAUGAGUUUGAAGCUCACAGCAAGGUGGACCCACCUAUCGGCACUUGCCAUCGACGAUGUGAACCCGACGCUGCUGAAACGAUCAGGAACUGAGACGAAAUUACAUUGCAUUGAUUGCUUCAACAUUUCCACAAGCGGAUCAUAAGCUUUUCGCAGUGCUAGCUUCACUGAGUCAUCCACGCGCCACUAACAUCGCACUCACUGCCUCUAGCAGCAGGAAGCGGUCACAUGUCUCACACUUAGAAGGAAGUAACAAACAGGGACACUGUUUAAUCUUGAUAUAUAUAAAUAUAUAUAUAUAUAUAUAUAUAUAUAUAUGAUCAGAUGGCAACCUACAUGGACCACGUUGCUAAGAGUACAAGCGUUAGAGUACCGUUUUCCUGAGUUAACAGUUUUCAUGAUUUCUUCAUUGGUCCGCGCAUGAUCAACUUCAUCUGUAGUUUCCAUGGAGCCUCCCAUGACGGAACGAAAUGCAUGAUUAAACCAGUUUUUAAGAAAUUGACGGCGUUUGAAUGAAGGAGCUUUGAUAUUCCUCAUGAACAUUUUUUUGGUUUACAAACGUCUUUUGUCAGAGAGCUCACCAAAAAAGUUUCAAAACUUGCAGGUUUUUCAUGUCCUUCACAGUGCCUGCUUGAUAGAGCGAGUGGCUUUCUGCAAAGCAAAAACUUGGAAUGCGUCUUUGACCAUGAGUCGCAAGCUGAAGCGUCAAAAAACUGUGCAUUAGAAUGUUCAGUGUCCCACAUAUGGCGUUGAUGGUGGACAAGAUUGGUGCAGAACCGAGAUCGAGUUUACAUCUGCGACAAGCAUCUUUGUCCUGAAUGUCAAUGUACAAGUGUAAAAUUGGAAGGUUUACAAAUGGGUCAUGGGUCAUGGAACUCAUAGAGAGUAGAAAAUCUUAUAUGGAAGAGUAAGGGAAUCCAUUGGAACUACUGUUAGUGAAACAAGACAAGUCUAAAUCUCAGGUCUUUUAUCUUUGUAUUUACUGAACUUCUCUAUUUACCUCUCAUUCUAUCUCUCUAUCGCACACUCACACUGAAGUAAACGAAGUUUCGUGUACAUGGAUAUGCUUUUGGAGGCACCCAUAUUCAUCAAUAGAUCCUCAUGUUCUAGGACUGAUGUUUUCAAAUUUAGCAAUCAUUUGUAGAAUUUGAAGAGGGCGGAGGAGGAGUGGUGGAGUAUUUCAGCUUAGUGCGCAAAUUGAAGGUCUGAAGGUUUAAUAUCGUCGCCAAACAUGAACUUCAGCUGCUCAACUAGGCUUUCGCAAGGUCCAAGCUCAGAUCUAUUAGUAUAUUUGUUCAAGGUGUUGGAAUUCCAUUUUAUACUUCACAAUUUGAUCAAGUAAAGAUCAUGUGUAAUGUGACCUAUAUUUUCUCUUUGUUUAAUUGAAGGUUUGGUCUAUUUUUUUUAUGCACUA